CUACGGGAGGCUCCAGUGAGGAAUUUUGCGCAAUGGGGGAAACCCUGACGCAGCAACGCCGCGUGAGCGAAGAAGGCCCUCGGGUCGUAAAGCUCUGUCAAGUGGGAAAAAAAUUUUUUGAUCAAUAGUCAAAAGACUUGAUGGUACCACUGGAGGAAGCACCGGCUAACUCCGUGCCAGCAGCCGCGGUAAUACGGAGGGUGCAAGCGUUGUUCGGAUUUACUGGGCGUAAAGAGCGUGUAGGCGGUUUAGCAAGUCAGAUGUGAAAGCCCUGGGCUCAACCCGGGAAGUGCAUUUGAAACUGCUUCACUAGAGUAUGGGAGAGGAGAUUGGAAUUCCUGGUGUAGAGGUGAAAUUCGUAGAUAUCAGGAGGAACACCCGUGGCGAAGGCGAUUCUCUGGACCAAUACUGACGCUGAGACGCGAAAGCGUGGGGAGCAAACAGGAUUAGAUACCCGGGUAGUC
rnacentral:rRNA from 1 species